rnacentral:lncRNA from 12 species
AUGAGCUCAAACCAGCUCUGCUGCACUGAAAUGGUUCCAAGGUUUUGCAGUCAAAAUCUCUCCCAUGGGGAGCAGAAGUGCUGCAGAGGAGUUUACCCCCUUCACCAGGUCAGUCUGAAGUUUGGCUGUCCUGCAGAAGUCUGUUGCUUUUAUUCCCUGAGUUCCAGGCAAAUAAGAAAGGUAAGGAAUAAGGUAUUUUCACCAGGUGGUGGGGUUCUUUGGAGCAGUGUUUUUCUCUGCCCAGGGGGUCAGGCUCUUCUCUCUUGUCUGCUGUAAUUACUACAGAAAGCAGGAUGUGAUAAUGGUCAACGUCAGAAUUAAUGAAGGGGAAAAAAAAGCAAACAUAAAAGACCAUUG